rnacentral:rRNA from 1 species
UACGGAGGAUGCGAGCGUUAUCCGGAUUUAUUGGGUUUAAAGGGUGCGUAGGCGGCUUUUUAAGUCGGCGGUGAAAUUUUGCGGCUCAACUGUAAAAGUGCCUUCGAUACUGGCUUCCUUGAGUGUGGAUGAAGUAGGCGGAAUUUGUGGUGUAGCGGUGAAAUGCUUAGAUAUCACGAGGAACUCCGAUUGCGCAGGCAGCUUACUAAACCACUACUGACGCUCAUGCACGAAGGCGUGGGGAUCAAACAGGAUUAGAUACCCCCGUAGUCCCU